rnacentral:rRNA from 1 species
GAACGUACCCAGAUCUAAGGAAUAGCCACUGGAAACGGUGAGUAAUACCUUAUACGCCCUUCGGGGGAAAGAUUUAUCGGAUCUGGAUCGGCCCGCGUUAGAUUAGGUAGUUGGUGGGGUAAUGGCCUACCAAGCCUACGAUCUAUAGCUGGUUUUAGAGGAUGAUCAGCAACACUGGGACUGAGACACGGCCCAGACCCCUACGGGAGGCAGCAGUGGGGAAUCUUAGACAAUGGGCGCAAGCCUGAUCUAGCCAUGCCGCGUGAGUGAUGAAGGCCUUAGGGUCGUAAAGCUCUUUCGCCUGUGAUGAUAAUGACAGUAGCAGGUAAAGAAACCCCGGCUAACUCCGUGCCAGCAGCCGCGGUAAUACGGAGGGGGUUAGCGUUGUUCGGAAUUACUGGGCGUAAAGCGCACGUAGGCGGAUUAGAAAGUUAGGGGUGAAAUCCCGGGGCUCAACCUCGGAACUGCCUCUAAAACUCCUAGUCUAGAGUUCGAGAGAGGUGAGUGGAAUUCCAAGUGUAGAGGUGAAAUUCGUAGAUAUUUGGAGGAACACCAGUGGCGAAGGCGGCUCACUGGCUCGAUACUGACGCUGAGGUGCGAAAGUGUGGGGAGCAAACAGGAUUAGAUACCCUGGUAG